rnacentral:rRNA from 1 species
GACGAACGCUGGCGGCGUGCUUAACACAUGCAAGUCGAACGGAAAGGCCCUGCUUUUGUGGGGUGCUCGAGUGGCGAACGGGUGAGUAACACGUGAGUAACCUUCCCUUGACUUUGGGAUAACUUCAGGAAACUGGGGCUAUUACCGGAUAGGAGCUCCUGCUGCAUGGUGGGGGUUGGAAAGUUUCGGCGGUUGGGGAUGGACUCGCGGCUUAUCAGCUUGUUGGUGGGGUAGUGGCUUACCAAGGCUUUGACGGGUAGCCGGCCUGAGAGGGUGACCGGCCACAUGGGGACUGAGAGACGGCCCAGACGGCUACGGGAGGCAGCAGGGGGGAAUAUUGCACAAUGGGCGGAAGUCUGAUGCAGAAACGCCGCGUGCGGGAUGAAGGCCUUCGGGUUGUAAACCGCUUUCGCCUGUGACGAAGCGUGAGUGACGGUAAUGGGUAAAGAAGCACCGGCUAACUACGUG